CUGGAGGGCGGCUGGUGCGGCCGUCGUCCGGGCCCGAGCGGCGGCCACUACACCUGCCGACGCCUCGGACACAACAUCCGCCGACGACAGACUGGUCUGCUCGGCGACUGUUGCGGUUGCUGUGCCCCCUCCCCCUUCUGGGGAGGGGGCACUCCUCAACUGAUCGCCGCUCUUUGAAGAAAAAAAAAACGGCGAUGAAAAUAUUAUCUGGAGUUCAACUGAAGUCCUCCUCGCCUUCAGCUUUAUGAUAAUGAUUUGAAUGAGGACAGUCUGGAUGUCCUGAUGGGCAGGCAGGCCAUCCGGGCACCACUAAGCUACAACAGGAGACACAUCCGAAGCUUUAACUGGGCCUGGUGUCCGGCCGGUCAGACACCACCGCUUCGGUGCAGUCUCCCGCCGCGCGGCCGAUUCCCACCUGAGGUCCCCACCAGGCUGACGAGUGGAGGCAGCACCGACCACGGCAGCCACAGAUGGCGCUCGACACCGCUCGACCGACCACCGCCGACGGAGCCGCGGUGCCGCACCCGAGCUGUGACACGGCACCUAACAGCGAGCCGAUCCCAGACUCCGAGCCCGCCGGAUACCAGCAUCACCACCGCGCGGCCGCCCAGCCGCUCCUGUUCAGCCUUCAACCGGCUGACUGUUGUUAAUGUUUACCAGGAUCGGCAGCGUGCACGGCGCUGCCGACCCGUGCCCGUGCGGCCGCCGGCGGCGGACCGGAGCGGACUGCCCCCGCGCCGGGCCGCUGCCGCACGGGCACCACCACCAGCACACCGCCCCCCGGGGAUGGCGCAGGGAGAAACGGCUCACCGCCAGCGUCUCCAUAAGCUUGUUAUGGCGUCUGCCGGUGGCGGGGCGGCGGCUCCCGGCCACUGGCUGACGCCGCGUUGUUAUUGCUCAAAACAGCCCACUCAGAAAUAAGCCAGAAUAAAAAAAUAAACGACGAGUAUGUGCGCGAAGUGCAGUGUGUGAAUGUGUGAAUGUAAGUGCUGCGUGAACAGCACUGGGCUAGGUCGGGGUGUUAUGCGCAAAUAGUGUGCGUGGCGGGACCACUUCACCAGAGUGCCUGUUGUUAUUUAUGUAGUCGCUGGUAAGCGGUUGAAGCUACCUAUACUCUGACUACGCAGGUACGAGCGUUUCUCAUUAUUUGCAAAACGGUGUGGGUCGUCCAUAUCCCUCAUCUUUAUGCAUUCAUAGAAUUUCAUUGUUUCAUUACUGAAAGUAUGGUGAAUGGAUCGAUACGAGUAUGUUUCGUAUUUUAUAGGUGAUUUGUCUUUGUAACCAGACAAAUGGUUUUCACAAUACCGAAAUACAUAUUUUUACGAA